rnacentral:rRNA from 1 species
CCUACGGGUGGCAGCAGUGGGGGAUAUUGCACAAUGGGGGGAACCCUGAUGCAGCGACGCCGCGUGGGUGAAGAAGCGCCUCGGCGCGUAAAGCCCUGUCAGCAGGGAAGAAAAUGACGGUACCUGAAGAAGAAGCCCCGGCUAACUACGGGCCAGCAGCCGCGGUAAUACGUAGGGGGCAAGCGUUAUCCGGAUUUACUGGGUGUAAAGGGGGCGCAGACGGCGAUGCAAGCCAGGAGUGAAAGCCCGGGGGCCAACCCCGGGACUGCUCUUGGAACUGCGUGGCUGGAGUGCAGGAGGGGCAGGCGGAAUUCCUGGUGUAGCGGUGAAAUGCGUAGAUAGCAGGAGGAACACCGGUGGCGAAGGCGGCCUGCUGGACUGCAACUGACGUUGAGGCCCGAAAGCGUGGGGAGCAAACAGGAUUAGAUACCCUUGUAGUC